UCAGAGUUUAAAUAAUGAACAUAGCAAUACCACCAAAGAAACAUUCAUUAAAUAUCAAUAUAAAAUAAAGUGGAAGAAAAAGAGAAAAACAGCAAGCUGCUGAUUGCAGUGUUUGCAACCGAGACUCUGUUCUGCAAACCCUGGGGGAUCAGCGUGGAUUGAGCUAUUACUAGAGGUUGGGGUUAAACACGGUAGGCUAUAGACUUUCUGGGGGAGAAACCAGUCAAUUUCUAUUCUGAAAACCUGGCACUGCCUAAGAAAAUCCAAACCCUUCAAACAGAAGCUUCGCAAGAGUGUAGUUAAUGGCAUAAAAGAGUGCUCAGAAACUCACCCACAGAGACUUUCUGAUAGCUGAUGCCAGGAACAGCAAAAAGCAGAAUGUCCAGUUAGGGAUAGUUAACCAAGCCCCUCUCAAUUCUUCUUCUUGAGGCUAUCCUCUCCUCACUGGUCCCCAUUUUAUAAUCAUGCUCAAGGAGCCUAGGCUUCUCUUCUUCUCUUACAGCAUGUUUAAUAUCACUACUUUAUCCAUUCUGUACUGUUGCAGGCUGAAGGUGACAUUACACUUAGAGGGAUCCACAGAUUCAAGAGGCUGCUUGGGGAGGGCAGCACAGUGAAGUACAAGGACUUUGACAUCAGAGAGGCCUGGAUUCAAGUCCCAAUUUCUGUGUGUGGUAACCAGUCUGCAAGACAGCCUGUGAUGGUUCCUGCCUCCUCGUAUUCAUGUCCUUCUUAGUUCCCUUGCGCAUUGAAUCAGGGCUGGCUCUGGGUGACCAAUAGAAUGUGGAGGAAGUGAUGGGGUGUGAAUUCCGAGGCUAGGUCACAAAAGGCAUUGUAUCUUCCACCUCUUAGAUCUCUCUCUCUGCGGAAGCCAGCCACCGCUCUCCAAGGACUCUCGAGCAGCUCCAUCUACAGAUUCACAUGGAGAAGAAUUAAGGGUUCCUGCCAAUCACCAGCACCACUUUGCCAGCCUUGUAAGUGGGCCACCUUGGAAUUGGAGCCUCCAGUUCCUACUGACAUCUGACUGCAACAUCAUGAGAGACCCUGAGUUUGAACCACCCAGCUGAGCUGCUUCUGAGCUAACCCACUGAAACCGUGAAAGUACCUGAAUGAAACAACACCCAGUAGCCACUAGCACACCUAGCUCCCAGAUCUGUUUUUGAUGCCAUUCUUCAGUAAAAGGAAGCAAGGCUGCUUGGAGAAAUUGCUAUCAAGGACUGGGGUAGAAAAUAUACAAGAUGAAAUUGGAGCAUCUUGUAGUGCUUGAAAACAGUUGGCAUCUGUGUGAAGAUGUGAAUGGAGGAGGCAGAGUAGGCAGUGAGUGCCGCAGCCACAGCUUGUGUUCUCUGCAGCCCUGGCACAGAAGAUAGGAACACUCAUGGGGGAUGCGGCCACUGUGAUGUCUUCCCACACAAGAAGUGCCAAGUGCUUUUCUCAUGCUUUUCUGGAUUGUCCCAUGGUGGACGAGUCAGCAGGAGUGAGAUGGAGCAGCACAGUAGAGGGGUGUGCCACCUCUUUGAUCCAGCAAGUGGGAAGAACAGUCCCGGCCUCUUUGCACACAAGACCGUGAUACCAAUGCACCAUCACAGGCCCCACAGGGGAGCUGUCCGCUUCCCCACACAGCUGCUAGGGGCUCUUUUGCAUGUUCCCAACCUUUCCUGCCUUUAUCUGAUAUUCGUUCCUUAGAUCCUGGGAUGAGGAGGUGGACCAGCAGAAGGUGGGCUUGUGAAGGCAGCCCGGGGUCCAAAUCCUCCUGGCUCUUCAGCUUAGCGGGUUAGUUAACAUUCAGAAGCCUUCAUCUCCCAUCUGCAAAAUGGGCAUGUCCAACUCAGAAGCUGCCUUGAAGAAAGGGUCUACCCAGCAUGGUGCGUGGAGCCUAAGCAGUCAGUACUUCAGGACUUCACCCGGCCCCUUUCCAAUAACUGCUGCUGUCGCCCUCACAGGAUGUCACCUUCAGCGUCUGAAAGCUGGGUUUGAUGCGUCUGGAAAGGCGUCCCUGACAGGCGUCGUUGCCAGGAGCCCCUAGUGCCACCAGCAGCCAGCAGGGGAGGGCGUCCUCUGCCCGCUCACUUCUGACCCUUCUCUCGUUGCACCCGGAACAUGGUGCAGCUGGGAGCAGCCUGGGCUGCGCGGAAGGCUCAGAUUUGGGGACGGCCCUUGCCAGUGACUGUGAGCUGGGGUGUCUUGGAAACUCCCAGUCUCAGCUUCUCCAUUUAUAAGAUGAGAAUGAUCAUACCAGACUCAGGCAAGGUUGUUUGUGCAUUAGUGAAAUCAGACGUAUUAAAUAAAGUACCACAUUGAUCGUGGAGUUGUUGAAUAACCAAGAACACGCCUAUCUGUCUCCAAAAAAUAAAUGUUGAAAAUGAUGAGGGCGUGGCUCUACGUUGGGAAGGGAAAUAGGGUGCUUGGAUGAGAGAAUCCUGAGGCAUGGGACAGUGGAGGGAUCCAGGAUAGUUCCAUAAGAAAAUGUGCUUGCACUAUCGUUUCUUUGCAGAGGCUCUUGUGUGCUGGGAGGCUGGCUGGGAUGGGGAGUUGGUGGCAGAGAAUAGUGUCUGUUUUCUUCCUGGUAGCUGGAGAGCUCUGCGACAGAGGACUGAGGUCAUUAGGAACAAGCGGGCAGGUAGGGACAGGCGUUGGAGUGGACUAGCCCUGGUUCCCCUGAAGCUCUCUGGGGUGGAGGUGAAGGAGCUUCUAGGGCAAAGUUUGCCAGUUAAGGAGGAGACACUGUUUGGGCUGCUCCCCGAAAUGGAGAACUUUUGUGUGUGCCUGGAGUGUUUCUAUUUGAGAAAAACUAUUUGAGAGGUGGGAAGGUGAAUUAUUUACCAGUAAGUUUAUCCUUCUCUCCUCAGAUUCUGCAGAACUUGCAGACCCAUAAACAAAUUAGAAAUUGCUUUUCUCCUCUUGCUUAACCUAAAUUUCUUUGUGGAAGCUGAAGGAAAAUAUGAGUAAUUUUCUAACAUAUUCAGUUACAGAGACAGCAAAGAGAAAUAUUCAAGAAAAAAAAAAAACAAACCCUGAGGUGCUACUGACUUCGUGUAUGUCUUAGCUGUAGACAGAAUUGGGAUUUCCUAAUAUGGGUUUGUUCCAGUACAGCCCCUCAGAAAGAUUUUCAUCAGCAAAACACACAUUGGAGGACCAGCUGCUGUGCAGUUGUCUCUUUUAAACCAUUUUCUCACUUCAUUGCUAAUUUUCCCAGCACCUUUCUUCUAACAGUUCUACAUUUUUGAUCUGCAAACAACCUGAGAUUAUUUCUUUCCCUCUUGGUAAAUAAAAGAAAUUUAAAGUAGAUUCUAGAAUGGGUUAGACUGUUUUAUUCCAGAUCCCUCAAAAAGAAGGGAUAAAUACUUCUUUAAAAGAAUCCCUUUAAAAGAAGGGAUAAAGUUUAAGCCAUAAAUACAAUAAAUGGUGAACUGCCUGGUUAACUGAGGGCUGAUUCCCGGAGACGCAACCAGGGGGAGCUUCCUGAGCAAGGUAGCUACUCCCUGCCAAGGUAACCACAGCUUUCUAACAAUAAGUAAAAUGUUUCUACUCAUAUCAUAGGGACCCUACAACAACAUGGCCCUUUUCUCUCUGCCAUGCAAAAAAGCAUCAAGAAAGUAAGAAGGGGCAUUUUUGAGAACAAACUAGAAAUCUUAGCAUCAUGUCUUCUCUCUAAUUAUGUUGGAAACAGGCUUUGAAAAAGAAAAAAACUGAGGAGAAGAUCACUAAAUAGAAUUCAAUAAAAAUGGCUUUUGAUAUUCUGUAGCUUGAAAGCAUUUGUAUUGGGUUUAUGUUCUCAUGGUUUUUGUUUCAAAGAGUUUAAGGUAAAUUUGAAUGUCCCAUUCCUCUGAGAACUCAGAGAAAGCCAGGUUGAUUAAGAAGUAAUUAAGAGGCUGGG
rnacentral:lncRNA from 1 species